GAGAACGGGCAUUUUUAAGGAAUCAUUAUUUGUACAUAAAGAAAUAAAAGGUAAAUCCAACAGCCCAGAGACGCUUGCAUUUCAGUAGAAAUGGACUUUCUCGGGUUAAAAGGUGCUGAAAGAGAUCCCACUCAAUCACUCCUGAAUUUCCAGAAACAUAGGCAUUUGUCCAUGUCAAAAUUAUCCACUCAACGGGCAUCUCUUUGGCUCCACCCUCCAGUUUCAGAGUGCCCAAAUGGCAAAAGGCAGCCAGCUGGAUUGCCAAAUGCUCCUCCUCCACUCCUGGUCCUUCAUGUUCCUCUAAAGAAGACCUCCCAGUUCUCUUCUGCCUUGUUCGUGACCCAAAAGAGGCCUUUUAAUGGAAGUGUUCCUAGCAGACCUCCUCUUGGUCUUCUCCAUCAAUUACUAACUGUGACUCCUGCCGCUCCAUAGGAUAAAUGGCGAUAUUGGGUGAAUAGCUCAGAUACGUUUAUUGAUCUGAAUAUCAGGGUGUUAUCAAAGUCUACUGGAUUGUAUCACAGAUUUAGGGCUCUAAUUUAAUGACAUUUCUGAAAGAGCGAAAUACCCACAUCCCUGUCUCUCCCCGACAACUGGCAAAAACGGGGAACGCAGCUCUGAACACGAUCAAAUCAAGGGUGUCGACUCAGAGUGAGAUCGUACAGCUUCAAAAGUAAUGUCGAUCUGCUCGCAACUUCACGCAAACCCAGCAGAGCCCCCAGCAGGACCCCCACGUACCCGCCUCUCAAUCCGGAGUUCGGGACGGGGGAGCACCCCUACUCGGGUCCUUCCCGCCGGCCGCCCGGAAAGCCCGGAGCGCGGAAGCGGAGCGACCCUCGGCAGCCGCGGGACGGGCAUGCUCAGUAGGCCCGCAGGUCUGGUUUCACUCGGAAGCCAGCCGCGGACCCCGCCCCCUCCCGCCCCGCACGGGCGCCCGGAGAAGCGGACAUUUUAUCCUUCUCUGCCAUCCGCUCCCUCUUUCGUGUCCUUCGCCCCCUGUCUGAGUCCUUCCACCUCUCGCCCAUCGGGGUCUGGGGACAUUAACUUGAAGAAAAUCAGCUGUUUGCCAAGAAAGGAGGGCUUGGAUGAAAGAGGAUGGAAGGAGGCUUGUCUCACUUGCAGGAGGAGGAAACGCAGAUUCUACCAUACAGAGUUGUCUAUGAGAAUCUAA
rnacentral:lncRNA from 1 species